CAAUUCUAAAGUAUCGAUGAAUGGUCUCAGUGGACCUAUUGAACCUUGACCCUAUUACUCUCAACCUCACAUUAUGCCCUAAAAUAUGGCAAAAUACCAGCAAUUGCUCCUUAAUUAACACAUUUACUGUUUUGUGUAAAAAAUGCUUUGACCUAAAGACUCUACAUAAUUCAAAGAAAACUUGUGGUCUCAUACGUAUUUGAUUGACACAAUUAGUAUCUCCUGAAUGUAAAAUGCGAUUAAUGAAUAACUCUCUCUCAAAAUCUCUUUCUCCCCGUGGCGCUCUAGGUAUUUGACUACUAAAAGCUUCAUCCUCCAUUACUCACAUACCAUAUGCCAUUAUUGACGCAGCUGCACCCAUUUUCCAUCUACAAGCAAUAAUAAGAAUUUUCUAACCCUAUUAUGAUAGAUGUUUUAUCUUAAGGGUAAACCCAAUAUCAAACAUUUAAUAAAUAAAUAAAUUGUUAAAAGGAUUAAGAAGGCUAGUGCAGCAACAUUAGCAAUAACAGAAUCAACUCUCGAAGGAACAUGUAAACCAGCCAUUUACAUGAUGCACAAGAUACUACUAGUUUUGAUUUCACAGGAAAUAUGGUAAGAUAUUCAUAAUCUAUUAAACAGAUUGAAAAAUCAGCAAGUGAAAAAUCCCUGAAAGAUAAACCUCAAGGGUAUGCCUCUAAGGGAACUUCAUUAAUAAAUUCAGGCAUGCCAAAUGCAGAUAUUCCAGAAACGAGAGCAUCUUGGCCAUUGCAAUCAUCACUUACUAGUAUUUAGAACACAAGGGAAUAAGAUGUUAAUGACAUGCACUAAAACUAACGAGUGAAACAUGCGGUGAAGAAAGAAUCUUUCUACUUUGCAAAACUUGCUUUGUCAAUGGUCCAAGUGUCACAUAAUCAUUUGUAGCAUAAGCAAGACUUAGAGUAGUUGACAACGAAGAAAGUUUGAACAUUUGACUAACAGGUUUAUAUAUCAAGGAAGCUCUUCUUACCAACACUCGAUCCGAUAUUAACUGUCUCACCAAUUGCUCUAAU
rnacentral:lncRNA from 1 species